AGGGAUAAGGGGUGCCACCAUCAGGUGGCCGCAGAGAAUAGGCCCAAGCGACUGUUUACCAAAAACAUAGGUUUCUGCUAAGUCGCAAGACGAUGUAUAGGAGCUGACGCCUGCCCGGUGCUGGAAGGUUAAGGGGAUCUGUUAGAGCAAUCGAAGCAGUGAACUUAAGCCCCAGUAAACGGCGGCCGUAACUAUAACGGUCCUAAGGUAGCGAAAUUCCUUGUCGGGUAAGUUCCGACCCGCACGAAAGGCGUAACGAUUUGGGCACUGUC
rnacentral:rRNA from 1 species